rnacentral:rRNA from 1 species
GUGGGGAAUAUUGCACAAUGGGCGCAAGCCUGAUGCAGCAACGCCGCGUGAGGGAUGACGGCCUUCGGGUUGUAAACCUCUUUUAGUAGGGAAGAAGCGAAAGUGACGGUACCUGCAGAAAAAGCACCGGCUAACUACGUGCCAGCAGCCGCGGUAAUACGUAGGGUGCAAGCGUUGUCCGGAAUUAUUGGGCGUAAAGAGCUCGUAGGCGGCUUGUCGCGUCUGCUGUGAAAACCCGAGGCUCAACCUCGGGCCUGCAGUGGGUACGGGCAAGCUAGAGUGCGGUAGGGGAGAUUGGAAUUCCUGGUGUAGCGGUGGAAUGCGCAGAUAUCAGGAGGAACACCGAUGGCGAAGGCAGAUCUCUGGGCCGUAACUGACGCUGAGGAGCGAAAGCAUGGGGAGCGAACAGGAUUAGAUACCCUGGUAGUCC